ACAUCUUAAUUAAUUUUUUUAAUCUGUUCUUAUCAGUUUAAUAUCUGAUAUGUCCUUUAUUUGAGGACUGUAUAUUAAAUUGAUUUUUGAAACCGGGGGGUGGAAUAGGAGCUUGCUCUGUCCAACCCAUGCAUUGACCUGGUAUUGCAAUGCCUCUGGGAACAGUGCAUCUCCU
rnacentral:snRNA from 1 species